UACGAAGGGGGCUAGCGUUGCUCGGAAUCACUGGGCGUAAAGGGCGCGUAGGCGGACUUUUAAGUCGGGGGUGAAAGCCCAGGGCUCAACCCUGGAAUUGCCUUCGAUACUGAGAGUCUUGAGUUCGGAAGAGGUUGGUGGAACUGCGAGUGUAGAGGUGAAAUUCGUAGAUAUUCGCAAGAACGCCAGUGGCGAAGGCGACAUACUGGAUCAUUGCUGACGCUGAGGCGCGAAAGCGUGGGGAGCAAACAGG
rnacentral:rRNA from 1 species